rnacentral:lncRNA from 1 species
GACACCACCCCAGCCAGCAUGGCCGGCAGGAGCGCACCGCGCUGUCUCCCUCCAGGGAUCCGCACCGCCCUACAAUCCUGCUUUGUGCUGAGAUUGUAGUCCUGCAGGCGUACAACUAACAAGCUGGGUGCAGAUAAGAGACUACAGCUCCCCGCAUCCCAAGCAAAGGUCCCUCCUCUACGGAGCCCCUCCACGCGUCCACUGCGGUUCCGCCGUGCCAAGGGGAGCUUGGCUGUUCACGGGCCUCACCUGCUAGCGAGAAGAUAGCUUGGCCGGGCGGCUGAUCUCACCUUGUAAUUCUGACACUGUGUCUCCCGGGCUUGUCGGCUUCAUGACUUGUGCCCAAAGUUUGAUUUCUCGCAGACCAGGUAAAAGCCAAGAGGCUCUCAUAGGCGCCUUGGCAGAGUUGCCAUUGGAACGGGCGUCCUCUAGUAGCUGGGAUCUCCCCGCCCCUUCCUCCUGAGGGGCCACUCCUUUCUGCCCCACCCUUCUUAUUGCCCCACCCUUUGCCACACUCCUUCAGAGAUGCGCAGUGCUGCCCCUUUCUAUGGGCAGGGCCGAAGGUCCGCGUGUAAAAGUACCCAGUCCCUGGUAACCUGACACUUCCCUUUUAAAAGCCACCUUUUGUCUAUCUCUGGCCUGCCACGAUUCUUCCUGUGCUCCAUAGGAGGACCCAUUGGACCCCCGGGCUGGCUGCAGGGCCCACACCUGGGUUAGACCUCGCACAGGGACGCUGCUGCCACUGUAAUAAAGCGUGCCUACACGCUUCUGAAACUGGUGUAGGAACAACCUCAGUUCUGUGAAAGGCGGACGCAGCAGGACAGAAUCUCCGUGGACAUCUGUCUGGAGGAGCAAUUUUACUGCGACAUUUUAAAGAAACAAAUUUAAUUGAUUUCCAAGGGUGUCCAUCGCGCUUCCUUCACUGCCUUGAUCAUGUCGGGGUCACCACCUGCGGGGGUUUGUCCUGCAGACCCUGACUCAACGACGGAUGAAUAAUGUACACUGACACAGAUCUUAUGCUUGUCAGUCCUGCUGAGCAUCCAGGCCACUUACAGACUCCAAGAAGAGUCCUGUCAGCCACGGCUCUGACUUGUUGGCCCUCCCGGCAUUUAUUUAGCACACAUUUAAUGACAGAAGUCUCAGGCUGGAAACACUCUUUUUGUAGAACAUACAAAUGGACAUUUCUAAGCACAUUGAGGCCUAUAAUGAAAAAUCAAAUAUCCCACAAUGAAAACUAGAAGGAAGCUAUCUGUGAUAAUGCUUUGUGGUGUAUGGAUUCAUCUCACUGACUGAAACCUGAGUUUUGAUUCACCAGGUUGGAAACACUCUUUUUGUAGAAUGUAUGAAGAGAUAUUUCUGAGGCCUGUUGUGAAAAACUGAGGUUUCCACAAGAAAAACUGGAAACAAGUUAUCUGAGAAAAUGCUUUAUGAUGGGUGAAUUCAUCUCACAAAAUUAAACCUUCGUUUUGAUUCAAAAGGUUGGAAUAACUUUUCUUUUCUUCUUCUUCUUCUUUUUUUUUUUUUUUUUUUGGACAGGGUCUUGCUCUGUCACCCAGGCUGAAAUGCAAUGGCACAAUCUCGGCUCACUGGUUCAAGCAAUUCUCCUGCGUCAGCCUCACAAGUAGCUGAGAAUACAGGUGCCAGCCACCACAACUGGCAGUUUUUUUGUAUUUUUAUAAAAGAUGGGGUUUCAGCAUGUUAACCAGGAUGGUCUCGAUUUGCUGACCUCCUGAUCUGCCUGCCUUGGCCUCCCAAAGUGUUGGUAUUACAGGUGGAAUCACUUUUUUUGUAGAAUCUGUGCAGGCACAUUUCUGAGGCCUACAGUGAAAAAUUGUAGGCCUCAUUGAGGCCUACAGUGAAAAAUUGAAUAUCCCUCAAUAAAAAUUACAAACAAGCUAUCUGUGGAAA